UACGUAGGGUGCGAGCGUUAAUCGGAAUUACUGGGCGUAAAGCGUGCGCAGGCGGUUUGUUAAGACCGAUGUGAAAUCCCCGGGCUCAACCUGGGAACUGCAUUGGUGACUGGCAAGCUAGAGUAUGGCAGAGGGGGGUAGAAUUCCACGUGUAGCAGUGAAAUGCGUAGAGAUGUGGAGGAAUACCGAUGGCGAAGGCAGCCCCCUGGGCCAAUACUGACGCUCAUGCACGAAAGCGUGGGGAGCAAACAGG
rnacentral:rRNA from 1 species